AGUCGAGGGGUAUAGUUCUUCGGAACUAGAGACCGGCGCACGGGUGCGUAACGCGUAUGCAAUCUACCUUUCACAAAGGGAUAGCCCAGAGAAAUUUGGAUUAAUACCUUAUAGUAUAUAUGAAUGGCAUCAUUUAUAUAUUAAAGAUUUAUCGGUGAAAGAUGAGCAUGCGUCCCAUUAGCUAGAUGGUAAGGUAACGGCUUACCAUGGCAACGAUGGGUAGGGGUCCUGAGAGGGAGAUCCCCCACACUGGUACUGAGACACGGACCAGACUCCUACGGGAGGCAGCAGUGAGGAAUAUUGGACAAUGGGCGCAAGCCUGAUCCAGCCAUGCCGCGUGCAGGAUGACGGUCCUAUGGAUUGUAAACUGCUUUUAUACAGGAAGAAACACUACUUCGUGAAGUAGCUUGACGGUACUGUAAGAAUAAGGAUCGGCUAACUCCGUGCCAGCAGCCGCGGUAAUACGGAGGAUCCAAGCGUUAUCCGGAAUCAUUGGGUUUAAAGGGUCCGUAGGCGGUCAGAUAAGUCAGUGGUGAAAGCCCAUCGCUCAACGGUGGAACGGCCAUUGAUACUGUCUGACUUGAAUUAUUAGGAAGUAACUAGAAUAUGUAGUGUAGCGGUGAAAUGCUUAGAGAUUACAUGGAAUACCAAUUGCGAAGGCAGGUUACUACUAAUUGAUUGACGCUGAUGGACGAAAGCGUGGGUAGCGAACAGGAUUAGAUACCCUGGUAGUCCACGCCGUAAACGAUGGAUACUA
rnacentral:rRNA from 1 species